CUACGGGCGGCUGCAGUGGGGAAUAUUGGACAAUGGGCGCAAGCUUGAUCCAGCAAUGCCGCGUGAGUGAAGACGGCCUUAGGGUUGUAAAACUCUUUCGCUAGGGAAGAUAAUGACUGUACCUAGUAAAGAAAUCCCGGCUAACUCCGUGCCAGCAGCCGCGGUAAUACGGAGGGGACUAGCGUUGUUCGGAAUUACUGGGCGUAAAGAGUUCGUAGGCGGACUGACAAGUUAGAGGUGAAAUCCCAGGGCUCAACCCUGGAACUGCCUUUAAAACUGUCAGUCUAGAGACCGGAAGAGGUUAGGGGAAUACCUAGUGUAGAGGUGAAAUUCGUAGAUAUUAGGUGGAACACCAGUGGCGAAGGCGCCUAACUGGUCCGGUACUGACGCUGAGGAACGAAAGCGUGGGGAGCAAACAGGAUUAGAUACCCGUGUAGUC
rnacentral:rRNA from 1 species